rnacentral:rRNA from 1 species
CCUACGGGGGGCAGCAGUAGGGAAUAUUGCUCAAUGGGGGAAACCCUGAAGCAGCAACGCCGCGUGGAGGAUGAAGGUUUUAGGAUUGUAAACUCCUUUUGUUAGAGAAGAUAAUGACGGUAUCUCACGAAUAAGCACUGGCUAACUCCGUGCCAGCAGCCGCGGUAAUACGGCGGGUGCAAGCGUUACUCGGAGUCACUGGGCGUAAAGAGUGCGUAGGCGGGCUUGUAAGUCAGAUGUGAAAUCCUGUAGCUUAACUAUAGAAUUGCAGUUGAAACUAGGAGUCUUGAGUGUGGGAGAGGUAGGUGGAAUGCGUGGUGUAGGGGUAAAAUGCGUAGAUAUCAAGAAGAAUACUGAUUGCGAAGGCGACCUACUGGAACAUUACUGACGCUGAUGCACGAAAGCGUGGGGAGCAAACAGGAUUAGAUACCCGAGUAGUC